rnacentral:rRNA from 1 species
GAACGGCAACACAGUCCAGCUUGCUGGAAGGGUGGCGAGUGGCGAACGGGUGAGUAACGCGUAGGAAUAUGCCUUGAAGAGUGGGACAACUUGGGGAAACCCAAGCUAAUACCGCAUAAUGUCUGAGGACGAAAGCUGGGGACCGCGAGGCCUGGCGCUUUAAGAUUAGCCUGCGUCCGAUUAGCUAGUUGGUGGGGUAAGGGCCUACCAAGGCGACGCUCGGUAGCUGGUCUGAGAGGAUGACCAACCACACUGGAACUGAGACACGGUCCAGACUCCUACGGGAGGCAGCAGUGGGGAAUAUUGGACAAUGGGGGGAACCCUGAUCCUGCAAUGCCGCGUGUGUGAAGAAGGCCUGAGGGUUGUAAAGCUC